rnacentral:lncRNA from 1 species
UAAACUAGUCCUCCCGAGUCGAAUGACGACCUCGAGUUGAUGUUAAGAACUCAGAGAAUUGGGGUUGAAUUGCUUGACUCUGGAUCGAUUAUUUUUAAGGAUGCAGUUUCUAUAAGAAAUAGGCCUUAUCAAAAUAAGGCAAAGCCUAGCUUGAAAAAUCUCUAGGCUAGCACUAAAAUCUAUUUCCACUUCAGAUUAUGAAAUUUGUGGCUUAAAAAACGGUAGAAUGUUUCUUGUAGAUCCCUAAACACUUAAAAAGGACGGAGUAGAUAAUAUCUUAUUAUAUACACUAUUUUUAGGACUUGGAAAUUUUUUUUUUUCACAAUAAUGUUGACGAUGAUUUAAACGUUUUCCGGCACUGAAACUAAAAAUUCUUGAGGCUUUACUUCUUUCCGUAAAACCUUGGCCCUAAUUUCAAAUAAAGUCAGAGCACAUUAACCAUUUUCUAUAAAACAAAGAAUCAACU